UCACAGUGAAAGACCUAUCACAGGAUUGCAUCCCAGACAGAAAAAAUGAAAUGACUGAAUUGAAAAACUGACAACAGCUGGCUGAGUGGAUCAGGAAUUAUGCAAGAAAUCCAGGCUUUCCUGAAAACUGAGACCUACGCUGCAGCACCUCGAGAAUCCCUCAGAAGUUUUUCAAAGUUUUCGGCCUAGCUCACCGGAGACGAAUGGGGAGGAAACACGCGACUGAUGCUCCUGUCUCAUGGUUGCCAUCGUCUUGUCUCUGUUUUCUCAUCAUGCUCAGAGUGAGAAGACUUGAAAAAGCCCACACAGUGUGUCAGGAAGAAGAAGACACAUUUUCCAAGAUAGCUAUUUCAUCAAAAGGAGCUUAGACUGUCCAUUGUCUCCUAUCAUGUGACUCAGUCUGAAAACAACAACAAGAUUGGUGGUAGUGACCUGGGGACUUCCCUGUCCUUCUGUUGAACGGUAUCGUGAUACCACAGAGUUAUACUUAAGGGUUUGUAUUGGACAGCACAGCGGCGCAGUGGUUAGUGCUGUUGCACCACUCCACACAGUUCCUCCCACAAUCCAAAGGCAUGCAAAAAUGUUAGGUCAAUUGGUUAUUCUAAAUUGUCUGCAGAUGUGAAUGUGAGCGUGAAUGGUCGUCCCUAUAUGUCAGCCGUGUGUUUAAGAUGUAUGAACAUGUUGAUGAACACCUUCUCAGCUUCACCACAGUCCUUUACGGUUAAACUGAGAAGGCCUCUAAGCUGAUGACUUCAGUUCAAGAAUGCAUUGCAACAUCUGUGAGGAUGAAACCGCUAGAUAUUUUUGAAAGGAACCAAAGUGUUACCACAUAGUACACACGGACAUUUUUCAAGCAACAUCAGGAAGCUAGGACCACUCAAGCCGUUUUUGUGGUGACCUAAGCAGGGCUGUGAUUGAAUCAGGACUCUAGUGCAGUUUGCAACAAUGAUAUUGUUACUGCUCAGUAUUGGCUGGCUGCACCAGUUGGAAAAAGGAGGGAGUCAGAGAUGUGAUCGAGGUAUAAUGGAGUUCUUCACAGGUCAGCGCAGAACUAUUGACCUCUCAGCGGGUUCUCUCUGUCCUCCACUCAUCCGCCACAACAUCCACCACUCAUCAGCAGUCCAUCAGGCCUGGGCUGCCAGGAGGAGCUAGGAAUUGUGAAUCAUACUUUUGUCCAGCUGCUGCCCUAUUACACCGAUUACAUUCCUCUCUCCUUCAACAUUUAGCGUAAACUCUGGCGGGAGGUUCUCACGCAUCAAUCAAAACAGCAAAUGGUCUUUCCGAAGAUAUGAGAUGACGGUGUACUAAAUAAUUGGCCAGCUUCCAAGCACAUUAGUCUCUGUUACAUUUUUCUCUUUAUCAGCAAUUCCCCCUGCUUAUCAUGCUCCGUUUAUUAUUCUCUCUUUUUUUCAUUUACAUUUUAUUGUUUGAUAUAUUGAAGGAAACACCAAAUUAGAGGUUAUCCUUAACAACCCACACAAAUUGGAUUGUUUUUCCUGUCCCCGCAUAUUUUUCACAGCGGCAGGUUUGUAUCAACUGGAGACGGAUGCUGUUUUACCCAGCAGGGAGCACAUAUUGUAAUUCCAGUGGAUCUUAUAGGAUUGCUGUUAUGUUGUUGUACGCUUUGGGUUUUUUUCCUCUGAUACACAACAUCUCUGUGCUGUGCGAUCACUCUUGAUGCUUUUUCUGUAGAGAGUAACACUCAAAACAGACUCUCGGGUGGGCUGGCAGAUAGAAGUAUACAUUAUGAAAGUGUCUGUGUGGUUGUAAUUGAAGGUAUAGCUGCAAAAGAGUGAGCAGCCUAAGCAACUUUUCCUGGGGGAAUUUAAAAUGCGUCUUUAUCUAUGAUUACAUUUUAACUGAGGAGCGGCAGAUUAUUGCAGAUAACGUUUUCACAUUGCAUAUGUUAAGUGAUAAGGUUGGUGUUAUUCUGUAUUUUUCUUAUUGUCAACAAAUCCCCUGAAAGGGCCAAAACCAACAAUGUUUUUGUUGUCGUCAGUGCUUUCCAAUUUCCCUACCCCGUCUUUUCCAGUCAGCCUCAAGUACCUGCUCUAUAAUGUAUAAGGUACUUCCAAGUACAUAGCAAUAGUAUAAAGUGCAUUUGUUUAGGGCUCAGCAUUAAGACCAUCCCAGUAGCAAGAAUACACUACUAGAAUUUAAAAUAUUGAAAACAAUUUCCAAAAAAAGCAAAAAAGAUUUGAUUUUGACAGUUUGCUAGCCAACAUAUAGCCUCCAAGGCUGAAAUGUUUAUUGUUGCCUUGCAGGGGAUUUUUUUCUUUUCUUUGCUAUCAUAGUCCUGUUCAGGAAGUACUGAUGUAAUCCUCCAGAUUUUAAAUCCUAAAUAUAUGUGUUAUCAGGAUUGCCCUAAUGAGUGUGCAAGCAGAUUAGGAGCUUUAAGACUGGAUCCGGAUCUUAAACCAAUGGAUAUUUUCAUUCGUGAAAGCACAAGACAUUUUCCAGCCGGCUACAUGAGGAAGGCUAGUAUAGGCUUUGGUCUUUUACCUCCAUGAAAACUUGAUGCUUUUUUGCUGGGAUUGAAAGUGUUGAAAUCACUAAGCGAAGAACAGCGCAUUUAAGCCAUCUAUCACUAUCUACACUUGUUGCAGCAUGCCAGUGUAACCACUCACCUGGGUGCGACAUUACAAUGAAAGUAUCUUCACCUUCGCCUCCCACUCAGUCCCUCUAUCUUGUCUGGCUACAUGUUUCUGUCAGAUGAACAGCAUUCUUCACGCAUUAUUCACACUCACUUUUUCACAAAACUGUGACGUUUCAAACCAUUUCUUUGCAAAUCACUCAAAAUAUGUCUCCCCUGUCCUAAGCCGACAUGUAUUUGAGCUCAGAAAAAAGGUUAAUUGGCUCUGCUGUUGCAGACGUUUGACAAAAAAAACAGCCAUUUUGAAGACAAAUGCAAGGUGGAUUAUCGCAAGAAUGAGCGGAGGACAUGCGAGAGGUUGUUUACCAUCUAAGAGAAUAUGUGUUGGAAAGGACCUUGACUGCUCAGAGGAGCACCAGCCGAAUACAGAGAGGAUAAGAGACAGGCCUCUGUAGCAAUUUGUACUAUUCAUGCUACAUUACACAAACAGCUAUUGAGCUAAAGCACUCUGAAGAACCUAUUUUUAUUCAAUUGUGUCUGCCAUACUGAAGAUGCCUCAACAUUUCUUGCCAUCAAAGGCUUCUGUGAACUGUUUCAUUUGAAGUUUAUACAGUUUUUAAGGAGAGAGGAUGCAAUGGAAUUAACUAAAUGCUGCGCAAUGCGUUGCUGACGUCAUUGGACUGAGUUUUUGUGUGUGUCAAUGAAACCUCAAAGGACCUUGUGUUUGCAAUUACCGUCUGUGUGGCCGAUUUCAGUAUAGAAUGGAUAAUAUUCUUGUGAUCACAAUGUUCUUGUCAGGACAGAGUGAGCCAAUCAACAAGGUGGCAGCAGGGCCAGGCAGCAUUAAUGAAUACUCAAUGUGAGACACAGAGCAAUUAUGGGUGAUGUUACUAUGGCGUUUGUUCUUUGCUUGUGAAGAACUGUCCAAUUAUCAGUUGAUCUGAGAGUUCCAGGGGAUCACGACAAUUGUCACUUGCAAUUUUGUUGUUGCUCGGAUGAUGAGAAAUGUAACUUAGCAACAAAAUAGAUGGAUCAGCAGGGCUGUGCAACACUGGGCCGAUUUUUCUUGUCGCGCACUAAUUAGAACUGACAAGCAUGUCAGCAUUUACCAUUUCCAUUUAAUACUGUU